UGGGGAAUAUUGCACAAUGGGGGAAACCCUGAUGCAGCAACGCCGCGUGAGUGAUGACGGCCUUCGGGUUGUAAAGCUCUGUCUUCAGGGACGAUAAUGACGGUACCUGAGGAGGAAGCCACGGCUAACUACGUGCCAGCAGCCGCGGUAAUACGUAGGGGGCAAGCGUUAUCCGGAUUUACUGGGCGUAAAGGAUGCGUAGGUGGAUAUUUAAGUGGGAUGUGAAAUCCCCGGGCUCAACCCGGGAACUGCAUUCCAAACUGGAUGUCUAGAGUGCAGGAGAGGAAAGCGGAAUUCCUAGUGUAGCGGUGAAAUGCGUAGAUAUUAGGAGGAACACCAGUGGCGAAGGCGGCUUUCUGGACUGUAACUGACACUGAGGCAUGAAAGCGUGGGUAGCAAACAGG
rnacentral:rRNA from 2 species